rfam:Stegodyphus mimosarum contig87996, whole genome shotgun sequence.
GCCUUCGUGGUGUAGUGGUCAGCACGAUGGGCGUGUAUCCCAGAGGUCCGUGGUUCGAGUCCCGGCGAAGGCG